rnacentral:lncRNA from 1 species
GUGGGAUCGAACGCCAUGUCGGGUUCCAUGCCCAGCAGGGAGUCUGCUGGACAUUCUUUCUCUCUCUCUUUCCCCCCACCUGCUGGCAUGCACACACACUUUCUCUCAAACAAACAAACAAACAAACAAACAAAAAAAAACCCUUUAAAUAAAUAAAUAAAUUCAUCCUCUAAGAAAAAAUGCACUGUAGAGGUGCAGUAACCCAAAAUGAGGACUGAGACCUAAGUGUUGAGUAAACAGGAAAAUAUGGGAUGAUUUUUUUUCUUUUGAUGAAAACGAAACUUCAGUGGCAGCUAAAGUAAAGGCUCGCUAUAACUGUCUCGUAAGUUUCUCUGGCAAGAGCUGGCCAUUCUCAGGAGGACUGUGAACUUCUCACUUGAGAAGUAAGGGUGAAGGAACCCAGGAAACCAUCAGGGAUGAUGAGCUCCAGGCGAGAGCUCAGUCGGGCAUGGAGGCUACCUGGAACAAAAGAAGUCAAAUCCACCCUUCACUACAAAAAGCAAGCACAGAGUCCUCAAUGGGAGACAAAGCAAAAUAGUCAAGAGGCAAGCGUAUUUAGGAAUGGAAGGCAUUUGGCAAGGUCGCUGUCGGCAAUACCAGCAUUCUGCAAACACAGGCUGUAUGGCAUUUGGAGAACAUUGCCGAAGGACACUCAUGAACAGACUGGUGCUCAGAUGAAAACUUUUGGAAGGGUAGAGACCUUGAACUUCCGCUCUGUUGGACAACUUGAAUAA